rnacentral:rRNA from 1 species
AUUGAACGCUGGCGGCAGGCCUAACACAUGCAAGUCGAACGAGUGGCGGACGGGUGAGUAAUGUCUGGGAAACUGCCCGAUGGAGGGGGAUAACUACUGGAAACGGUAGCUAAUACCGCAUACCAUCGGAUGUGCCCAGAUGGGAUUAGCUAGACGGUGGGGUAACGGCUCACCUAGGCGACGAUCCCUAGCUGGUCUGAGAGUCUGACCAGCCCCACUGGAACUGAGACACGGUCCAGACCCCUACGGGAGGCAGCAGUGGGGAAUAUUGCACAAUGGGCGCAAGCCUGAGGUAGCCAUGCCGCGUGUAUGAAGAAGGCCUUCGGGUUUUAAAGUACUUGCAGCGAGGAGGCGUUACUCGCAGAAGAAGCACCGGCUAACUCCGUGCCAGCCGCCGCGGUAAUUC